rnacentral:rRNA from 1 species
GACGAACGCUGGCGGCGUGCCUAAUACAUGCAAGUUGAGCGAUGAAGCUUGGUGCUUGCCCCAAUUUGAAGAGCAGCGAACGGGUGAGUAACGCGUGGGGAAUCUGCCUUUGAGCGGGGGACAACAUUUGGAAACGAAUGCUAAUACCGCAUAACAACUUUAAACAUAAGUUUUAAGUUUGAAAGAUGCAAUUGCAUCACUCAAAGAUGAUCCCGCGUUGUAUUAGCUAGUUGGUGAGGUAAAGGCUCACCAAGGCGAGGAUACAUAGCCGACCUGAGAGGGUGAUCGGCCACCUUGGGACUGUGACCCGGCCCAAACUCCUACGGGAGGCAGCAGUAGGGAAUCUUCGGCAAUGGACGAAAGUCUGACCGAGCAACGCCGCGUGAGUGAAGAAGGUUUUCGGGUCGUAAAACUCUGUUGGUAGAGAAGAACGUUGGUGAGAGUGGAAAGCUCAUCAAGUGACGGUAACUACUCAGAAAGGGACGGCUAACUACGUG